CAGGAGCUGAUCCAGGAUGUCUGAUGCCUGAAUCUGUAAUUCCCACUGAGGUCUAACUUCCAGUGGCUCCAGAAAAGGACUGCAGGAUGACCUUCCUUUCCUGUCCAGCCAAAUGCUUUAGCUAUAAUUAUUCAAGUUUAAACCAAAAUUUCAGCUAUAACUGAAAUGCUUGCAGAAUACACGAACAACAGCGCCCUCUGCACCUGAAACCCCUCCGGUUAUUAAACCCAGACGUUCCUACGUGCUGGAGGAGCCUUUAAUUUCAAUUACUGCUUUUUUCAGCUGCUGCUUACACCUUCCCUAUGAGAAUGAUAUGAGAUGACAAGAAAAGGUUUCUGACCUCACCAUCCUCUACUUCCCCCACACUGCAUUUGGAAGGGUAAUUUAUAAAACUCCACCAGUGUAGCCUGGACACUGCUGUCCCAGUAAGGACUACAGGGAGAAAGAACCAGGAUCUCGGGUUUGCUGCUUACAUUUUCUUUUUUUAACCCUUUCUUCCUGCCACCCUAACAGAUAGGUGAUCUUUCAUCUUACCUUUUUCCUUUGAUCAAGAUGUAGACAUCUGCAUAAUAGAACAAAAUUUUGGUCUAGUAAAAUAUGAAGCUCGACUUUGGAAGAACAACUGAUUUCUAUUAAAUAAAGCAACACUUCUUCGUCA
rnacentral:lncRNA from 1 species